AAUAACCGACCCGCAUAGGAUCAAACCCACCACCGAUUAAAGACUUCCAAAUAACCUUCCAGGAUUUGUCCAGCACUUCUCCAUGACAAAAGAACUUCUGUAUAACCUCUUCAGGACUUCUCCUACGAUAUACUAGGACUUAUCUAGGACACAACCUAACCCAUCUUAAAACAACCUUAUCUAACCUAAACAACUAAACUUUACCUAACCUAACCUCAGAGUGGCGGAUCGUGAGUAUGAGCAGCGGUAGUGCCGCGCAAGGGGGAAAAAUUAGAAGUUUUUCAACACAUAACGAUAUAAAUAAAUGAAAAUUAAAUUUACAUCAGGAGAAAACCCAUACAUGCUCGACAAUAUUUUAACCAUUUGUAAGUUCAGAAGAGAGGGCCAUGAUUUUUUACACUUCCUUUGCUCAUUAUCAGAAUAAAAUUAGUCAGUGCACAGAAUUAUUGAACACUCAUUAACAAUAACCACUAAAGUUUGUGAUACAGAAACCAGUCUAAAACACGUGGUACCGGGCAAGGGUGCAGCUCUUAUCCACGGACCACCACUGGUCUCUAGUACACUUCUGUCUUGCAAGAUUUACCAGAGCAUCUGAAUGAAUAAAGACUGUGAUGAUGCACGGUACUGUUUUGGGCUGAGAAGAUAAUACAAAGAGCCCACAGCUGAAAUUGUCAUACCAGCAGAGGACAUGGAAAAUACUCAACACCCACGCAUGACACAAAACAGAAGACUCCAUCGGCUCUGUUUUCACCUGCACCAUGGCGUACGCUGAAGGUACGCUGACUGCAGGAGGAAGGUGACUGUGGUUACCCGAGAUGCUUUUACUACUCUCAGGUGCUGCUUGCAGCGCCAGCAUUAAGUGUGGUUGAAUCUGUCUCCGCAAGGCUGCCAACAUAUCCACUGGAUCUUCAUUACUGCUGCCACUGUUACCUGAUUCUACAACAGUUACACACAGAAAUAAAAUCAAUCAUCACACACAACAAAGAAACAGAUGAUGGUACCAUAUUUAAAAUUUAUUGACUAGCUGAAUGACCAUUAGUUUUUCAAAAAAGGCUCUGCUCCAAAGAUUGUUUUUUAAUUAUUAAAAAAUUUAUUCUGUUCACAAAACAACCAAACAACAUGUGCCUAAGUUCACAUUCAGACAACAGUGGGAUCACGGUAAUAAAACACGAACACUGCAAACCUUACAAGACCGACGGCUCUUAAACACUGAGCAAAUCUGUGCAACAACUUUCUUUAUCAGAACUCCGGCUUACAAAAUUUGUUUCAGAACAGAUAUCCCUUUGAAAUUUGUAAUUCAUUGGGAAAUCAUUUUUUGAAUUGAUAUUCAUGUUUAAAUCUACCACUACAUAAAAGUGAUCACAGAACGCCAGAUUUCCACAGAACAUUAUUUGGGAAUCGCUGAACUUCAUCAAACAUGAAUAUUUUAACCUAUAUGCCUUUUCAAGAUAUUUUACACAACAUCCUGCCUGUUGUUAUGUCAAAUUAUGUGAAAAACACAUCCUGACAUAAAACAUAUAUUGCGUAAAUAAA